rnacentral:lncRNA from 1 species
CAAUAUCUACUCCCCCUUUUUGUCAUCAACAAUGAAGGGGACAAAUUAUCCUUAAAUGCUUAAAACUCAAUUUUACAGUGUUCAUUUUACUCCCCCUUUGAUAUUCAGGUUGUGCUCCCCCUGUUUCAUAUGCUUUGAUACGUUGUGCCAAAUCUGAAUACUUAAUGUAUGUUAUGAGAUUCUUAUGACACAUCAAGAGGCACAUUCACAUUCACAGAAACACAUACAUAGAGUUGGCAAUGUACACACAGUUUUCAAAAGAGAUUGUAUUCAUGUAUCAUUGUGAACCUUUGAAGUCAGUACAUAGUCAAAAAGAAGAAAUCAUUACAAGUAUUGAUUUUUAAUACAAAAGUGUUUCAAAAUAGCCUAGGAUUUACAAAAAGAAGAUCCUACAAGAUAUCCAUCAUCGGCGACGUUGCUCAUGGGCCCUACCAGCUGUAUUUUG